CGCCAGCAGCCGCGGUAAGACGUAGGGGGCGAGCGUUGUCCGGAAUUACUGGGCGUAAAGAGCACGUAGGCGGGAAUUUAAGUCAGAUGUGAAAGACCGGGGCUCAACCCCGGGGUUGCAUUUGAAACUGGAUUUCUUGAGGGCAGGAGAGGGAAGCAGAAUUCCUGGUGUAGCGGUGAAAUGCGUAGAAAUCAGGAGGAAUACCAGUGGCGAAGGCGGCUUUCUGGACUGUCCCUGACGCUGAGGUGCGAAAGCGUGGGUAGCAAACAGGAUUAGAUACCCUGGUAGUCCACGCCGUAAACGAUGGAUACUAGGUGUGGGAGGUAUCGACCCCUUCCGUGCCGCAGCUAACGCAAUAAGUAUCCCGCCUGGGGAGUACGAUCGCAAGGUUGAAACUCAAAGGAAUUGACGGGGGCCCGCACAAGU
rnacentral:rRNA from 1 species